rnacentral:rRNA from 1 species
GUCCUUUUAGGACAAAGGGAGAAUCGCUGAUACCGUCGUGCCAAGAAAAGCCUCUAAGCAUAUCCAUAGUCGUCCGUACCGCAAACCGACACAGGUAGAUGAGAUGAGUAUUCUAAGGCGCGUGAAAGAACUCUGGUUAAGGAACUCUGCAAACUAGCACCGUAAGUUCGCGAUAAGGUGUGCCGCAGCAAUGCGGUCUCAGCAAAGAGUCCCUCCCGACUGUUUACCAAAAACACAGCACUUUGCCAACUCGUAAGAGGAAGUAUAAGGUGUGACGCCUGCCCGGUGCUCGAAGGUUAAGAGGAUGCGUCAGUCGCAAGAUGAAGCGUUGAAUUGAAGCCCGAGUAAACGGCGGCCGUAACUAUAACGGUCCUAAGGUAGCGAAAUUCCUUGUCGGUUAAAUACCGACCUGCAUGAAUGGCGUAACGAGAUGGGAGCUGUCUCAACCAGAGAUUCAGUGAAAUUGUAGUGGAGGUGAAAAUUCCUCCUACCCGCGGCAAGACGGAGAGACCCCGUGGACCUUUACUACAACUUAGCACUGCUAAUGGGAAUAUCAUGCGCAGGAUAGGUGGGAGGCUUUGAAGUAAGGGCUUUG